rnacentral:rRNA from 1 species
GAUGAACGCUAGCGGCAGGCUUAACACAUGCAAGUCGAGGGGUAACAGGGUUCUUGCACCGCUGACGACCGGCGCACGGGUGCGUAACGCGUAUAGAACCUACCUUUUACAGGAGAAUACCCCAGAGAAAUUUGGAAUAAUGUUCCAUAGUAUUAUUGAAUGGCAUCAUUUGAUAAUUAAACAUUUAUGGGUAAAAGAUGGCUAUGCGUUCUAUUAGCUAGAUGGUAAGGUAACGGCUUACCAUGGCAACGAUAGAUAGGGGUCCUGAGAGGGAGAUCCCCCACACUGGUACUGAGACACGGACCAGACUCCUACGGGAGGCAGCAGUGAGGAAUAUUGGACAAUGGAGGCAACUCUGAUCCAGCCAUGCCGCGUGCAGGAAGACGGUCCUAUGGAUUGUAAACUGCUUUUAUACAGGAAGAAACACUCCCUCGUGAGGGAGCUUGACGGUACUGUAUGAAUAAGCACCGGCUAACUCCGUGCCAGCAGCCGCGGUAAUACGGAGGGUGCAAGCGUUAUCCGGAAUCAUUGGGUUUAAAGGGUCCGUAGGCGGGCUAAUAAGUCAGGGGUGAAAUCCAACAGCUUAACUGUUGAAUUGCCUUUGAUACUGUUAGUCUUGAGUUAUAUGGAAGUAGAUAGAAUGUGUAGUGUAGCGGUGAAAUGCUUAGAGAUUACACAGAAUACCGAUUGCGAAGGC